UUUUAUGCUGGCUUACUUUUGUGAUCUGGCACACGAUGGGCUCAGCCAAGCACCAGUGAAAGAGAUACAGCAUGAGGAUUUGGCUGGAUCUGGUGUACAGGCUGCUUUGCACGGAUGAGCUAUCUCCCUUCCCAGCUCCCCAUCUUCUCUAGUUACUUCCUACCUGACAGAGCAGGGGUACCUCAGGUGAACUAAUGAAGAUCCUAUUGCUUUCUCCAGCAGCAGAACAGCUUUCUAACAUACUAGCCAAUGAACCUGUCAGAAAAUAUAUUGCAGAGUGAACCUGAAAAGAGAAGAAAAGAAAGAAAAAUAUUGCCACUGCGGCUCUGCCAGAGUCUCCUGGCCCUGCUUUAACAGCUCUGCCUCCCUGCAGCUGCUGAAGUGGCUACAUAGGUGAGGAAGAGAAUUUAAUUAAACACUUCUUAAAUGCCCCCUCUGUCAAGUGGACAUGUCCCACCAAAAUCCUUUCAAAAAUUAACAUUGAUUAUUAUAUUUUCUUCACAGGUAAAGAAAAAUUUGCAAGAGGCAGAAAAAUUCUAUAGCCUGUGUGUCACAAGUUCUGUUGGCUGAUGUGUUUCACAAGACUUCUGAGCCAGCUAUAAAUGCAGACAGGUGAGAUGCCCUUCCCAAACCACAGCCCUGCCCUGGAGGAAUUGCCCUCAGCUCUCGCAGCCCUGCAGCUGACAGCAAGGUAAGAGGCACCCUUGGCACAGGAGAGCUGGAAGGGCUUCUUGGGCUGCUGCUGUGAAGUGCAGGGCAAGGGCAGGAGGCUUUAGUGCUGGGCUGAGAGCUGCAGCACAGCCGUGAGGCUCUGCUGUGUGCGUGUGCAGAGACUGAAGCCAUCUCUCAGGGCAUGAGGAGAUGGAUGGCUGCCGCAGGAGAGACAAACCUCACCCAGGGACAGCCUGGAGGGGGCCACUGAUACACAAUUCUCAGAGGUGAAAGUGAAAAUAUUCUACAAAUUCAUCUUGGUCAUGGGAUCUUUAUGUUGUAUCAACAAAAUUAAAGGGGUCAUUAUUCAUACUUUUUCUACAGGUAGAAAGUAAUUAUAGUAGUGCCUAAUCACUAGGAACUAAUCAGUCAGUGAGUCCGAGCUCAUGUUCUCUCAGCCUCCAUAUAUGCUUUUAUAACUGUGAAGAAAUGCAUGGUUUUAAUCACAUGAAGUUUUUUUUCCUAAAA
rnacentral:lncRNA from 1 species